rnacentral:rRNA from 1 species
AGUGAACGCUGGCGGUAGGCCUAACACAUGCAAGUCGAACGGCAGCACAGUAAGAGCUUGCUCUUACGGGUGGCGAGUGGCGGACGGGUGAGGAAUACAUCGGAAUCUACUUUUUCGUGGGGGAUAACGUAGGGAAACUUACGCUAAUACCGCAUACGAUCUACGGGUGAAAGCAGGGGAUCUUCGGACCUUGCGCGAUUGAAUGAGCCGAUGUCGGAUUAGCUAGUUGGCGGGGUAAAGGCCCACCAAGGCGACGAUCCGUAGCUGGUCUGAGAGGAUGAUCAGCCACACUGGAACUGAGACACGGUCCAGACUCCUACGGGAGGCAGCAGUGGGGAAUAUUGGACAAUGGGCGCAAGCCUGAUCCAGCCAUGCCGCGUGGGUGAAGAAGGCCUUCGGGUUGUAAAGCCCUUUUGUUGGGAAAGAAAAGCAGCAGGUUAAAACCCCGCUGUUCUGACGGUACCCAAAGAAUAAGCACCGGCUAACUUCGUG